CGUGGAGACAGGUGGUGCGUGGCUGUCGUCAGCUCGUGUCGUGAGAUGUUGGGUUAAGUCCCGCAACGAGCGCAACCCUCACCUCUUGUUGCCAUCAGGUCAUGCUGGGCACUCUAGAGGAACUGCCCCGGUCAACGGGGAGGAAGGCGGGGAUGACGUCAAGUCAUCAUGCCCCUUACGUCCUGGGCUACACACGUGCUACAAUGGCCGGUACAAAGGGAUGCCACACCGCGAGGUAGAGCUAAACCCAAAAAGCCGGUCUAAGUUCAGAUUGGAGUCUGCAACUCGACUCCAUGAAGGAGGAAUCGCUAGUAAUCGCGUAUCAGCACGACGCGGUGAAUACGUUCCCGGGCCUUGUACACACCGCCCGUCACACCACGAAGGCCUGCUGUACUCGAAGUCGCUGAG
rnacentral:rRNA from 1 species